UACGUAGGGGGCAGGCGUUGUUCGGAAUUACUGGGCGUAAAGGGCGCGUAGGCGGCAGGGCAAGUCGGGUGUGAAAGGCCUGGGCUCAACCGAGGAACUGCUUUCGAGACUGCCAAGCUAGAGUGCGGAAGGGGCAUCUGGAAUUCCCAGUGUAGCGGUGAAAUGCGUAGAUAUUGGGAAGACCACCUGAGGCGAAGGCGGGAUGCUGGGCCGACACUGACGCUGAGGCGCGAAAGCCAGGGGAGCAAACGGG
rnacentral:rRNA from 1 species